rnacentral:rRNA from 1 species
CAGUCGCCGCGGGAAUACGUAGGUCCCGAGCGUUGUCCGGAUUUAUCGGGCGUAAAGCGAGCGCAGGCGGUUAGAUAAGUCUGAAGUUAAAGGCUGUGGCUUAACCAUAGUACGCUUUGGAAACUGUUUAACUUGAGUGCAAGAGGGGAGAGUGGAAUUCCAUGUGUAGCGGUGAAAUGCGUAGAUAUAUGGAGGAACACCGGUGGCGAAGGCGGCUCUCUGGCUUGUAACUGACGCUGAGGCGCGAAAGCCAGGGGAGCGAACGGGAUUAGAUACCCGCGUAGUCCCUGUCUCUUAUCCC